UUUUUUUUUUUUAAUUUUUUCUGUUCGUAUGGGUAGAUAAAAGGUGGUAGGACCUGAAUUGAAACUAGCUGUAUGCAUCUGUUCAUCUUUCACCCAAACAGUUAUUCAUUUCCCUGGCACUUAAAUGAACUCCACUCACAUUCUUUGGAAGUUUGGAUGGAAACAACACCCCAAUUGGCGUCUGGGAACUUUGCUUAUCAGUUAUUAGUUAUAUCGAAAUUUUGCUGUAUGGGUUGCAUUUUUUAAGCAAAUCAGAUACUUUAAAGCAAGUGCUUUAAGUGUUUGUAUAUGGGUAUACAAAGGACCUUACUCCUUGAUUUGGGUGGUUAUUCUUAUGUUAGUUUGAAGAGACCAAGAGCCUUCAUUGUCAUGCUUCUUUUUUGGCCUCUAUAACUUGGAAAAGAUAUGCUUUGCCCUCACAAUUCUAUUUCCAUUUUUUAUAUUAUUCAUAUCUGUCAUGUCAAUUGUUUGUGAUGAUUUUCUUUUGAAAUGAUUGUAAUUGUAAUAUACAUGAAUUUAUAUUCCUUUUAUGGUCAUUCUAACUUUCAAGUGUUUUUCCAUCUAAUCUUGUUUCAUUUGCAUAUUUGUCAUCAGUUGCGACUGAUCUUGCCUCCUG
rnacentral:misc_RNA from 1 species